UCCUACGGGGGGCAGCAGUAGGGAAUAUUGCUCAAUGGGGGAAACCCUGAAGCAGCAACGCCGCGUGGAGGAUGAAGGUUUUAGGAUUGUAAACCUCUUUAGGCGGGGAGCAAUGCCGGGCACGCGUGCCCGGAGGGAGAGUACCCGCAGAAUAAGCAUCGGCUAACUCCGUGCCAGCAGCCGCGGUAAUACGGAGGAUGCGAGCGUUAUCCGGAUUUAUUGGGUUUAAAGGGUGCGUAGGCGGAUUUUUAAGUCAGCGGUAAAAUGUCCGGGCUCAACCCGGGCCGGCCGUUGAAACUGGGGGU
rnacentral:rRNA from 1 species